GAUGAACGCUGGCGGCGUGCCUAAUACAUGCAAGUCGAGCGAACUGAUUAGAAGCUUGCUUCUAUGACGUUAGCGGCGGACGGGUGAGUAACACGUGGGCAACCUGCCUGUAAGACUGGGAUAACUUCGGGGAACCGAAGCUAAUACCGGAUAGGAUCUUCUCCUUCAUGGGAGAUGAUUGAAAGAUGGUUUCGGCUAUCACUUACAGAUGGGCCCGCGGUGCAUUAGCUAGUUGGUGAGGUAACGGCUCACCAAGGCAACGAUGCAUAGCCGACCUGGGAGGGUGAUCGGCCACACUGGAGCUGAGACACGGCCCAGACUCCUGCGGGAGGCAGCAGUAGGGAAUCUUCCGCAAUGGACGAAAGUCUGACGGAGCAACGCCGCGUGAGUGAUGAAGGCUUUCGGGUCGUAAAACUCUGUUGUUAGGGAAGAACAAGUACAGGAGUAACUGCUUGUACCUUGACGGUACCUAACCAGAAAGCCACGGCUAACUACGUGCCAGCCGCCGCGGUAAUAC
rnacentral:rRNA from 1 species